rfam:Cyanobacterium aponinum PCC 10605, complete genome.
GGGGCUGUAACGGCUUCGACAGGCUAGUGAAAGCUGACCCGUGAUUCAGGUCGAGAGUGAGUCUCCUCUCGCAAAUAAAAGGCUCAAAAAAAAUGUAACUGCGAACAACAUCGUUCCUUUUGCUCGUAAAGCAGCUCCUGUUGCUGCCUAAGACCUAAAACCGGUUCGAGCGCUUAUAGUGUGACUCCGUUAAGCAUUAUAGGCAAACCCCAACGGAUGCUCUUAAAGAUGGUUUCUAGUCUGUCUUUGAGAUAAGAAAACACUAGAAAAUCCUACUGUCAGGGAUAAGUGACAGUUCCCGCUCUGAGGAUUAGAUGAGCUAAACCUGUGAAUGAGCGAAAAGUAAAUAGCUAGUUUGGACAGCAGUUCGACUCUGCUCAGCUCCAUAA